CUACGGAGGGUGCGAGCGUUAAUAGGAAUUACUGGGCGUAAGGCGUACGUAGGCGGUUGGUUAAGUUAGAUGUGAAAGCCCCGGGCUUAACCUGGGAACUGCAUUUAAAACUGGCGAACUAGAGUUGAGUAGAGGGGAGUGGAAUUUCAGGUGUAGCGGUGAAAUGCGUAGAGAUCUGAAGGAACACCAGUGGCGAAGGCGACUCCCUGGACUCGAACUGACGCUUAGGUACGAAAGCGUGGGUAGCAAACUGGAUUAGAAACCCCAGUAGUCC
rnacentral:rRNA from 1 species